GAGGAAGUUUCCUUUUCUGGGGUGGAAAGUGGAGGAGGGGUUCUGGAUCUUAGUUAGGGGCGGGGGUUUAGGGGGUGAGGGGGACGAGCUUAGCCACCUCGAGGGAGCUCAGGCCGACCAACACAAGGGCGCGCCGCCGCGCCGACUCGAGGCUCCAGCCCCGGCCCCGGCAUGCCUAGCUCCCUGCCGCUACCUGCCGCCCCAACGACGACGCCACCGACGCCGCCGCCGCCGCAGCUGCCACUGCUGCCGCCACCGCGGAGGACCCCGCCGCCCCCGCCCCCGCCCGCGCGGCGGCGGCAAGGACUACUUCUGCAUGCUGUACCACCUGCUGGGCCGGUGCCUGCGGCACCACAGCACCCCCGGCCGGUUGUUGUCGAAGUAGCAGACCUUGUGCGGGCUCAAGCGGGCCCUGGAGGAGGGGUUCAUGAAGUUCGUGUUGUUGAAGAGGAGGAAGCAGUCCGUCGAGUUGUGGAUGCCUAAGUCUUUUCAACUAGGUCUGUUCACCCUUAAACGUUUACUCCCAAAAAACUCUCCUGUUUUUGUAGAUGACUUCUGGUAGUUGUCUUCCUUUGGUAGCGUACGUUUGUUGGUUCACGUUCACGUUGUCGUCGUUGGGGUCGUCGUCGUCGUCGUCGUCGUUGGGGUCAACGUCUUACGAGGUUACGGAAGAACACAUCUCCACCCCUUCAAACCCUACCUCCUUCUCUAACUCUACGAUUUCUCCCUAUUUUUACAAGAUUACGUCCUCGAACAGUCCGACUCUGUCGUUGUCGUCUGGUGACUGGUAGUCGACGUCUGAAACCCGUUCGCAGAAGUGCCUUACCUCGUUGCUGUCGUCGUUUACUACAGAAAGGACCGAUUUCGUUACGUCUCAGGACCGAAGGAUCGUGUCAAACAUGUCGUCUUACUUUUGUCGUUUGCCUCUUAUCAUCGACGCUUGUUCUUUUCCUCCGAUGGAUUCGUUCUACUACCGGACUUGAGGCUUUCACGUAACAACCUACCGGUCUAUUAGUUCAUAGUCGGAUACUAGUUGCUUCGUCGGUUUCGUUACGACUCCUUCUAGGACGUCGUCCUAUGGAGGGGUGUGUCUAAACUUAGGUACCGGUUAAGUCUAUUAAACGAUGACCUCUUGACAUACGGUUCACGAGUUUGAAAACUGUCGAGAAGUAGUUGGGCCUUAAGACGUCAGUGGGAACGUCUCCAGGGUCCGUUGAGCCCGUACGGUAUAUACGGGUGCUCGAGACCCGAAAGUCGUUAAACAAGUAGCAGUUCGGGGGGACUCUACGUCGCAGGUCAAGACCUGUGGUUGAGUAGCUGUGUUGAAGGGUUGUACUCACGACACGGAAGCCACGGUUUCCGAUACUGCGGUCCAAAUUCACUAUAGUCAUAAGGUCCUAAGGGUCUAGACGUACUAGAGUAUUGCCUCCUACGUUAAUUAUAAGGACAUCUCUUGAAGUGUUACGGACCAGGACUCACAUAUAAGGGGGAUGGACUACUUCCGUCACUACUGAGACAAGGGUACCUGGGGUAGCUGUGACUACUCUGGCUACUGUGGGUCUUCGAAGGCCCUUAUUAACUAAGGAAGACCCUCGUCAAGGAAACACGGUCGGGAGAGAGGUAGCUGUUACUGCUCCAGCUAAGUCCAGACGACCUGUGUGCCCCUCGCGUUCUCCUCUUACCUACCUGGUCCUGGCUCUUGAACCGUUUAGAGUGACUUGUUUACCCGAACGACAGUAGGUUGGUAUCUCCCACUCCAUGGAUGAGUGUCGCUGGGAGAGAGUUCCGCGGGACCCCAGGUUGGACCAUUAUUUUGAUCGAGGAUAUCAAAUAGGAAUGCGUUAGUAUGGCUUGACACUUUACGGACAGCUGCCGGCCACACCCUCCUGAGGCUAGAAAAACAUAGAUAUUCCAAAAAACCGUCCGUAUUUUUGAUUGUUGGCACGCAACACAAAGACGACACGAGCAGACCAACGCUGAUUGUGGAUGGACUUGGUUUUGUACAUUUUCUGAUCGUCGAGGAGCGCGAUAGGUCCCAGCGACCGGAGAUACCUUAGGUCUUUUUUACCACCACAAACCGUGAACACAACACAACACACAUAAUGACUAAAAACCCAAUUAGAAAAGCGACGACGACCCGGGUUCCGAACAAGAUCCAAACCAUCCUUGGAGCAAAGAACCGUACCUCGGCAGCCAAGAACAUACCUUCCUCUGGCACUCACUUUCGACGGAUAUACACAUAAAAGACAACAACGUUGGACUGUGCGGCUAGACUAGAAAAUGCUGCUGCUUCGUCCUUCUCACAUACUACAAAAUAAACGAAAGCCACUACGAUACAAAACAGAAACUUUUGAGCUUUGAAAUUGAUCAGUUCAUCAUAAGGCAAACAUUGACUGAUUUAAAUCACUUAAACGAGGGUGAAUUG
rnacentral:rRNA from 1 species